rnacentral:rRNA from 1 species
GACGGGACGGAACGGCCUUGUGCUCUAAGGUGAGCCUACGUCGGAUUAGCUAGUUGGUAGGGUAAAAGCCUACCAAGGCGAUGAUCUGUAGCUGGUCUGAGAGGACGGACAGCCACACUGGGACUGAGACACGGCCCAGACUCCUACGGGAGGCAGCAGUGGGGAAUAUUGGACAAUGGGGGGAACCCUGAUCCAGCGAUGCCGCGUGUGUGAAGAAGGCCUGCGGGUUGUAAAGCACUUUCAGUGGGAAAGAGAAGCGUCUUGUGAAUAAUGGGACGUGGAGACGUUACUCACAGAAGAAGCACCGGCUAACUCUGUG